rnacentral:rRNA from 1 species
GAUGAACGCUAGCGGGAGGCCUAAUACAUGCAAGUCGAGCGGUAGAAUGACUUCGGUUGUUUGAGAGCGGCGAACGGGUGAGUAACGCGUACACAAUCUACCUUUAAGAGGGGAAUAGCCCUGGGAAACUGGGAUUAAUGCCCCAUGGCAUCACGGGAGUGGCAUCGUUUUGUUGAUUAAAGCUGAGGUGCUUAAAGAUGAGUGUGCGUCUGAUUAGCUAGUUGGUACGGUAACGGCGUACCAAGGCGACGAUCAGUAGGGGGCGGUGAGAGCGUGGACCCCCACCACGGGUACUGAGACACGGACCCGACUCCUACGGGAGGCAGCAGUAAGGGAAUAUUGGUCAAUGGAGGAAACUCUGAACCAGCCAUCCGCGUGCAGGAAGAAUGCCCUACUGGGUUGUAAACU